GUGGGGAAUAUUCCGCAAUGGACGAAAGUCUGACGGAGCAACGCCGCGUGAGUGAUGAUGGUUUUCGGACUGUAAAGCUCUGUUGUUUAGGACGAAAGUGCCUGUUGCGAACAGUUACAGGUAUUGACGGUACUAAACGAGGAAGCCACGGCUAACUACGUGCCAGCAGCCGCGGUAAUACGUAGGUGGCAAGCGUUGUCCGGAAUUAUUGGGCGUAAAGAGCAUGUAGGCGGAGAUUUAAGUCUGUUGUGAAAAUGCGGGGCUCAACCCCGUAUUGCGAUGGAAACUGAAUUUCUUGAGUGCAGGAGAGGAAAGGGGAAUUCCCAGUGUAGCGGUGAAAUGCGUAGAUAUUGGGAGGAACACCAGUGGCGAAGGCGCCUUUCUGGACUGUGUCUGACGCUGAGAUGCGAAAGCCAGGGUAGCGAACGGGAUUAGAUACCCGGUAGUCC
rnacentral:rRNA from 1 species